rfam:Cavia porcellus supercont2_25 genomic scaffold, whole genome shotgun sequence.
GGGGAUUUAGCUCAGCAGCAUAAGUGCCUGCCUUGCAAGCAGGCAGUCAUGAGUUCAAUCCCCA